rnacentral:tRNA from 2 species
GGUAUCGUGGGCUUAAUGACAAGGCCACUUCCAGAUGAAGAAAUGCAGGUUCGAUUCCUGCUGGUACCA